UACAGAGGUCUCAAGCGUUGUUCGGAUUCAUUGGGCGUAAAGGGUGCGUAGGCGGCGCGGUAAGUCGGGUGUGAAAUCUCGGAGCUUAACUCCGGAGGGUCGGUGGAUACUGCCAGUCUUGAAGGUGCUAGGGGGAGAUGGAAUUACCGGUGUAGCGGUGAAAUGCGUAGAUAUCGGUAGGAACACCAGUGGCGAAGGCGGUCUCCUGGGGCAUUCUUGACGCUGAGGCGCGAAAGCUGGGGGAGCAAACGGG
rnacentral:rRNA from 1 species